UACGUAGGGUGCAAGCGUUUAAUCGGAAUUACUGGGCGUAAAGCGUGCGCAGGCGGUUUUCCAAGACAGAUGUGAAAUCCCCGGGCUCAACCUGGGAAUGGCAUUUGUGACUGGAAGGCUAGAGUGUGUCAGAGGGGGGUAGAAUUCCACGUGUAGCAGUGAAAUGCGUAGAGAUGUGGAGGAAUACCGAUGGCGAAGGCAGCCCCCUGGGAUAACACUGACGCUCAUGCACGAAAGCGUGGGGAGCAAACAGG
rnacentral:rRNA from 1 species